UACGGGGGGUGCAAGCGUUGUUCGGAAUUACUGGGCGUAAAGGGCUCGUAGGCGGCCAACUGAGUCGGAUGUGAAAUCCCCAGGCUCAACCUGGGAACUGCAUCCGAUACUGGAUGGCUUGAAUCCGGGAGAGGGAUGCAGAAUUCCAGGUGUAGCGGUGAAAUGCGUAGAUAUCUGGAGGAAUACCGGUGGCGAAGGCGGCAUCCUGGACCGGCAUUGACGCUGAGGAGCGAAAGCCAGGGGAGCAAACGGG
rnacentral:rRNA from 1 species